UACGGAGGAUGCGAGCGUUAUCCGGAUUUAUUGGGUUUAAAGGGUGCGUAGGCGGGUUAUCAAGUCAGCGGUAAAAUCGUGGAGCUCAACUCCAUCCAGCCGUUGAAACUGAUGAUCUUGAGUGGGCGAGAAGUAUGCGGAAUGCGUGGUGUAGCGGUGAAAUGCAUAGAUAUCACGCAGAACUCCGAUUGCGAAGGCGGCAUACCGGCGCCCGACUGACGCUGAAGCACGAAAGCGUGGGUAUCGAACAGG
rnacentral:rRNA from 1 species